AGGCCCAAAGGGAGAGGCAGGGUCUGAUCCGCAGCCUCCGUGGCAGCUGUUAAUCAGCCGUUGCCUCUCUUUCUCUCCA
rfam:Myotis lucifugus cont2.18256, whole genome shotgun sequence.